AUUUGAAAUCUGGCGCAAGCCCGAGUUGUAAUUUGUAGAGGAUGCUUCUGGCCAGCGGCCGUUCUAAGUUCCUUGGAACAGGACGUCAUAGAGGGUGAGAAUCCCGUAUGUGACCGGCGCGCAGCCUUUACGUAGCUCCUUCGACGAGUCGAGUUGUUUGGGAAUGCAGCUCUAAAUGGGAGGUAAAUUUCUUCUAAAGCUAAAUACCGGCCAGAGACCGAUAGCGCACAAGUAGAGUGAUCGAAAGAUGAAAAGCACUUUGGAAAGAGAGUUAAAAAGCACGUGAAAUUGUUGAAAGGGAAGCGCUUGCAACCAGACUUCGUAGCGAUGUUCCGCUGGUCUUCUGACCGGUCUACUCAUCGUCGCGAGGCCAACAUSGUCUGGGCCCGCUGGAUAAGACCUAAGGAAUGUAGCUUCCCUCGGGAAGUGUUAUAGCCUGUGGUGAUGCAGCGCGGCUCGGGCGAG
rnacentral:rRNA from 1 species